GAUGAAGAACGCAGCGAAAUGCGAUAAGUAAUGUGAAUUGCAGAAUUCAGUGAAUCAUCGAAUCUUUGAACGCACAUUGCGCCCGCCAGUAUUCUCGCGGGCAUGCCUGUUCGAGCGUCAUUUCAACCAUCAAGCCCCCGGCUUGUGUUGGGGACCUGCGGCUGCCGCAGGCCCUGAAAAGCAGUGGCGGGCUCGCUGUCACACCGAGCGUAGUAGCAUACAUCUCGCUCUGGGCGUGCUGCGGGUUCCGGCCGUUAAACCACCUUCAUAACCCAAGGUUGACCUCGGAUCAGGUAGGAAGACCCGCUGAACUUAAGCAUAUCAAUAAGCGGAGGA
rnacentral:misc_RNA from 1 species